rnacentral:rRNA from 1 species
AAUGGGUCAGCGACUUAUAUUCUGUAGCAAGGUUAACCGAAUAGGGGAGCCGAAGGGAAACCGAGUCUUAACUGGGCGUUAAGUUGCAGGGUAUAGACCCGAAACCCGGUGAUCUAGCCAUGGGCAGGUUGAAGGUUGGGUAACACUAACUGGAGGACCGAACCGACUAAUGUUGAAAAAUUAGCGGAUGACUUGUGGCUGGGGGUGAAAGGCCAAUCAAACCGGGAGAUAGCUGGUUCUCCCCGAAAGCUAUUUAGGUAGCGCCUCGUGAAUUCAUCUCCGGGGGUAGAGCACUGUUUCGGCAAGGGGGUCAUCCCGACUUACCAACCCGAUGCAAACUGCGAAUACCGGAGAAUGUUAUCACGGGAGACACACGGCGGGUGCUAACGUCCGUCGUGAAGAGGGAAACAACCCAGACCGCCAGCUAAGGUCCCAAAGUCAUGGUUAAGUGGGAAACGAUGUGGGAAGGCCCAGACAGCCAGGAUGUUGGCUUAGAAGCAGCCAUCAUUUAAAGAAAGCGUAAUAGCUCACUGGUCGAGUCGGCCUGCGCGGAAGAUGUAACGGGGCUAAACCAUGCACCGAAGCUGCGGCAGCGACACUGUGUGUUGUUGGGUAGGGGAGCGUUCUGUAAGCCUGUGAAGGUGUGCUGUGAGGCAUGCUGGAGGUAUCAGAAGUGCGAAUGCUGACAUAAGUAACGAUAAAGCGGGUGAAAAGCCCGCUCGCCGGAAGACCAAGGGUUCCUGUCCAACGUUAAUCGGGGCAGGGUGAGUCGACCCCUAAGGCGAGGCCGAAAGGCGUAGUCGAUGGGAAACAGGUUAAUAUUCCUGUACUUGGUGUUACUGCGAAGGGGGGACGGAGAAGGCUAUGUUGGCCGGGCGACGGUUGUCCCGGUUUAAGCGUGUAGGCUGGUUUUCCAGGCAAAUCCGGAAAAUCAAGGCUGAGGCGUGAUGACGAGGCACUACGGUGCUGAAGCAACAAAUGCCCUGCUUCCAGGAAAAGCCUCUAAGCAUCAGGUAACAUCAAAUCGUACCCCAAACCGACACAGGUGGUCAGGUAGAGAAUACCAAGGCGCUUGAGAGAACUCGGGUGAAGGAACUAGGCAAAAUGGUGCCGUAACUUCGGGAGAAGGCACGCUGAUAUGUAGGUGAAGUCCCUCGCGG